AUACGUAGGGAGCGAGCGUUGUCCGGAAUUACUGGGUGUAAAGGGUGCGUAGGCGGGACUGCAAGUCAGAUGUGAAAUGCCGGGGCUCAACCCCGGAGCUGCAUUUGAAACUGUGGUUCUUGAGUGAGGUAGAGGUAAGCGGAAUUCCUAGUGUAGCGGUGAAAUGCGUAGAUAUUAGGAGGAACAUCGGUGGCGAAGGCGGCUUACUGGGCCUUUACUGACGCUGAGGCACGAGAGCGUGGGGAGCAAACAGGAUUAGAUACCCUGGUAGUCCACGCUGUAAACGAUGAUGACUAGGUGUGGGGGGACUGAACCCUUCCGUGCCGCAGUUAACACAAUAAGUCAUCCACCUGGGGAGUACGGCCGCAAGGUUGAAACUCAAAUGAAUUGGCGGGG
rnacentral:rRNA from 1 species